GAUGAACGCUAGCGGCAGGCCUAAUACAUGCAAGUCGAACGGGAUCCAGAUCAAAGCUUGCUUUGGUUUGGUGAGAGUGGCGCACGGGUGCGUAACGCGUGAGCAACCUACCCUUGUCAGGGGGAUAGCCCGGCGAAAGUCGGAUUAAUACCGCAUGACAUCAUUGAGAGGCAUCUUUCGAUGAUCAAAGAUUUAUCGGACAAGGAUGGGCUCGCGUGACAUUAGCUAGUUGGUAAGGUAACGGCUUACCAAGGCUACGAUGUCUAGGGGCUCUGAGAGGAGAAUCCCCCACACUGGUACUGAGACACGGACCAGACUCCUACGGGAGGCAGCAGUAAGGAAGAUUGGUCAAUGGACGGAAGUCUGAACCAGCCAUGCCGCGUGCAGGAAGACGGCCCUAUGGGUUGUAAACUGCUUUUAUACGGGAACAAACGUCGGUACGUGUACCGGUCUGAGUGUACCGUAAGAAUAAGGAUCGGCUAACUCCGUG
rnacentral:rRNA from 1 species